GAUGAACGCUGGCGGCGUGCCUAAUACAUGCAAGUCGAGCGAACAGAUGAGGAGCUUGCUCCUCUGACGUUAGCGGCGGACGGGUGAGUAACACGUGGAUAACCUACCUAUAAGACUGGGAUAACUUCGGGAAACCGGAGCUAAUACCGGAUAAUAUAUUGAACCGCAUGGUUCAAUAGUGAAAGACGGUUUUGCUGUCACUUAUAGAUGGAUCCGCGCCGCAUUAGCUAGUUGGUAAGGUAACGGCUUACCAAGGCGACGAUGCGUAGCCGACCUGAGAGAGUGUUCUCCGCCACUGUAACUCAGACACGCGCCAGACACCCAUGCGAGGCAGCAGAGUGGAAUCUCCCCCGAUAUGCGCGAGCCCGUCGCGGCGCAGCGCCGCGUGAGAUAUGAAUGUUCUCAUCUCGUAAAACUCUUAUAUUAGAGAAACAAAAAUGUGUGAGACACUAUGCGCCUCGAGGCGACACCUACACAGAGACCCGCCGCUAUCUACG
rnacentral:rRNA from 1 species